AUGAGUUGUGUUGUUAUAGUCACGAUGCACUGUUGUGAGUUUUGUGGGUCCAGUGUGGUUUUGUGGUGUGGUUGUGUUGUUAAAACUGGGAGGCAAGGCUUUUGCGUUGUCAAAUUUUGUAUUUCUGGGGUGUUUAGUUGUGUUAUAGUCACGAUGCGUUGUUGUGAGUUUUGUGGGUCCGGAUUGUGGUUUUGUGGUGUAGUUGUGUUGUUACAACCAGGAGAAAAGGCUUUUGUGUUGUGUAGUCAAGUUUUGUAUUUCUGGGGCAUUUAGUUGUGUGCCAAGUUUCGUAUUUCUGGGGCGUUUAGUUGUGUUGUUAUAGUCACGAUGCAUUGUUGUGAGUUUUGUGGGUCUGGAUUGUGGUUUUGUGGUGUGGUUGUGUUGUUACAACCGGGAGGCAAGGCUUUUGCGUUGUGUUGUCAAGUUUUAUAUUUCUGGGGCGUUUAGUUGUGUGCCAAGUUUCGUAUUUCUGGGGCGUUUAGUUGUGUUGUUAUAGUCACAAUGCAUUGUUGUGAGUUUUAUGGGUCUGGAUUGUGGUUUUGUGGUGUGGUUGUGUUGUUACAACUGGGAGGCAAGGCUUUUGCAUUGUGUUGCCAAAUUUUGUAUUUCUGGGGCGUUUAGUUGUGUUGUUAUCGCAUGAUGCGUUGUUGUGAGUUUUGUGGGUCUGGAUUGUGGUUUUGUGGUGUGGUUGUGUUGUUGUAACCUGGAGGCAAGCCUUUUGCAUUGUGUUGCCAAGUUUCGUAUUUCUGGGAUGUUUAGUUUUGUUGUUAUAGUCACUGCGCCCGCAACUUUAUCCUUUUAUAUAUAUAGAUUCCUCCAAAACAUCCUUGCAAAUGUGCAAACACUUGAGCAAAGUGUGAUUUUUUUCUCAGCAAGUCUUAAAAGAACCCCAUUUUUAUGAAGAUGGAGACUAAUGAAAUUUCUUUCUCUAAAUCUUCUGAGAUGCUUUCUCAGCCUUCUUUCUUUCCAUUAAUAUUAGAUGCUUUUGGUAUCCAAUGUACUUCACCUAAGUUGCUUUGGAGCUAGACAAAAUCUUCAGUCUUGUAGUAAGUCUGAUGAAUGGUACUGCCUUGAAUUUUCUCCCUCAAAUCCAAACCUUACUUUCUAGAGGUGUAAAAAAAGCAUUGGCAGGCAACCUGUUGAGUAGUUACAAAUGUGUAAGUUAGAACUAAGUACAGUCUGUGCUCCCCAUUUGUAGGUUUGACUUUUCUGGGUUUGGUUAUGUGUCUGUGUGAUUAAUAUAUUCUCAAGGAAUGUAUAAUUCCUACAGUACCACUCUAUGGUCAACUUCCACCAGGAGUAGGAAGUUGACCGUAGUGUCAUGCUGGAGGACCUAGAAAUUCCUAGAGAAAUGUUAACUUGGAUGAAAAACAAGCAUCUUAAAACAUUGCGGUUUUUCAUUUUUGCAGGGAUGCUGUGCUCUUAACCCCAACAAUGAGAAGGACAGACUGUAUUUGUAACUGCUCAGCUUUCAUGUUUACAGUUGUAAAGCUAUUGCUGUUAUUGCAAAUGACUCCCCCCACCCCACAGAGAUUGAACUGAAGAGAUCUAUUUUUGUGGUGGUUACGACACUAGUUUCUUCCCAAUAGCAAUCUCUAAUGCAAUGAGAAGUUACAUAGGCUUCCUACUAUUGAUUGUCACACCAGAGAAGAGACAAGGAAGCUGGAAGGAUUAUGCUGCUGCAUCCCAAUCAGAACUUCAUCAGUUGGACUUCUGACUUUUGAGG
rnacentral:lncRNA from 1 species